CGCCUCUUGACACAACAUAGGAGGUCCAGCCUGCCCAGUGACAGAGUUCAACGGCUACGGUACCCUGACCGUACGAAGGUAGCAUAAUCACUUGUUCCUUAAAUGGGGACUUGUAUCAACGGCAUCACGAGGGCUGCACUGUCUCCUUUCUUCAAUCAGUGAAACUGAUCCCCCCGUGAAGAAGCGGGGAUGAAAUUAUAAGACGAGAAGACCCCAUGGAGCUUUAAAUAAUACAGCCACACUAUAUCAAAAUAGCCUCUUACUAAAAGUCCUGACUGUAAAUUUUAGGUUGGGGAGACCGCGGAGAACAACUAAACCUCCACGACAGACGGCCUAAGCCCUUAUCCACGAAUAACACUUCUAAGAAUCAGUACUCUGAUGUUAUUGACCCGAUAUCAUUCGACUGACGAACCAAGUUACCCUGGGGAUAACAGCGCAAUCUACUUUGAGAGCCCAUAUCGACAAGUGGGUUUACGACCUCGAUGUUGG
rnacentral:rRNA from 1 species